UCAAGAAACUUCCACAAUGGGCGAAAGCCUGAUGGAGCGACGUCGCGUGAUGGACGAAGUGCUUCGGCACGUAAACAUCUUUUAUGUGGGAUGAAAUUAUUGACAGUACCACAUGGAUAAGGGGCUCCUAACUCUGUGCCAGCAGGAGCGGUAAUACAGAGGCCCCAAGCGUUAUCCGGAAUCACUGGGCGUAAAGGGUGUCGAGGCGGUUGUAUUAGUCGUUCGUAAAAUCUACGAGCUUAACUUGUAGGCGGCGAACGAAACGGUACGACUUGAGGUUUGGAGAGGUGCGUGGAACUCACGGUGUAGGGGUGAAAUCCGUUGAUAUCGUGGGGAACACCAAAGGCGAAGGCAGCGCACUGGCCAAAAUCUGACGCUCACACACGAAAGCUAGGGUAGCGAAGAGGAUUAGAUACCCAGGUAGUCCCUGAGCGGGCUGGCAAGG
rnacentral:rRNA from 1 species